UUGAAGGUCGUUGUCCUGGCAAUGCAGGU
rnacentral:piRNA from 1 species